rnacentral:lncRNA from 10 species
GCUGGAACAUCUGUCUUCUCCUGUUCUCAGACAUCAGUGCUCUGUGUUCUCAAGCCUUCAGACUCCAUCUGUGACUUACACCAUCCCCACCCUCCCACUCUCCCCCACUGGCCACAAUGCCAGUCCUCAGGCCUUUGGACUUAGACUGAGUUUCACCUCCAACUCUUUCUUGUUUCUUCAGCUCAUAGACAGCCUAUUAUGGAACUUCUUGACCUCCACAAUCAUCUUCCAUAAGUCAGGAUUCCAGUCACAGCUUAGCUGGAUCCUCUCAGAAGGCUACGAUCAAGGUGUCAGCCAGACUGAGUUCUCAUCAGAGGCUCGACUAGGAGAGGAUCUGCUUCCAAGUUCCCUCAGGUUGUUGGAAGGAUUCAUUUUCUUGUGGCUAAGCUCACAGGAGCUUUCUUCUUCAAGGGCAUCAGGAGAGUGGAGAGCGAGUCUACUCAAAGACUUCUAUACAAAUCAUAAGACAUCAAGUACUCUUCAACUGCCUAUUGGGAGACAAUUUCCACAGCUCUCUCAUGUUUCUGCACAACUUGUAAGCAAGACAAGACUCUCUUAUCUUCUGGACUCUAUUUUCAAGAAUACUCAUAUAGUGAACAGUGUCUUCUUCCUGAGCGAAGGGCAUAAAUGCUACUUUCCAUUUUAAAAGAUUCAAGUUCCCUAAGCUCGGAAUUCUUCUGUAAUGCAACCCAUUGUGUGUGCAGGUAUCACCUGGCAUUCUUCCCAUUACCCUGUGGGAAUUGGAGCUCAGGGAACCUUCAUAGAAAUUCUGAUAGUCUAGCUACUGCUAUUUCUAUGAGUAAUAAAUUGUUUCUGACCUAGAAGUCUUGUGUCUUCUGCUGGCACCCAUGAAAUUAUGAGGCUAAAUUGUUAGAUUACAAGUGAGGUAAAAUCUUGGACGCUUCCCAGUUCUUGACACUGACUAAAAUACAUGCAUAUUCGUUUUAUCAAGUCAGUUUGAAAAAAAAUCUAUGAAUUAAAAUAAUUACAAAAUUCUAAGGACUGAAUUUGUAAUAUAUUGGAUGAACAAAACCCUCUACCUUGGUUCUGAAAUUCUUGAUAGUUGAGAUAUGUGUAACAUUUGUAAUUUGAAAUACACAAGUAAUUCUCUAUUUAAAAGGUCAUAUAUCCAAAGUAUUGAAAAAUCUAGAAUACAUUAAACUUUAGCUAUCCAUGGUGAAAGGCAGUGGCAAAACAGCUGCAGAAAAGCUGAAACUAGAUUCAAUUAAAUCUUUGUGCCAAAACCAAGUGCACAAAAAUCUCCCAAAGCUGUUAAAACUAUACAGCUUAUUUGCUAUAAAUUUUAUAAAUGGUUAAAUAAAACAAGUUUUGAAGUAAUUUGGUAAAUUGACAAAUUUUUCACUCAUUGAUUUGUUGUAGCUAAUGAGGGAUGGUGGGGAGUGGAGAAGGGUUCAGAGAACUUGGGAAGGAUAUAAAAAUGGAGGUAUGUGGGGCAAAUGCCCCCAACUACAUGUUUUAAUCAAGAACACCAGCCUAUGAUCAAGGGAAUUUUCAUAUACAGAUGAGAGCUAGUCUCACUUGAUCUUUCUGCAUUAAAACUGUUACAAAGCAACUUCUUUAUCAAAUGAAUACAAUCACAUUUAGUAGAGGCUCUAGUUAAGACCUGAGGCUAUACUGACCUGGGUUAGAGACCUGGCUUUUACAUUUUUACCUAAUCUCUCUAAGCCUUAAUUUCUCAGUUUUAAAAGUGCAGGUAAUCAUAGCAUGUGUUUCCCAAGGAUGUUGUAAAGAUUAGUGUCAGGAUGGCUGAGUGGUGUAAGGCACCAGACCCAAGGAUGUUGUAAGGAUUAAUUGAAAUAUCCACUUGAAUUGCUUAGCAUGAUACCUGCUAUGUAGAAAGUGCUUGAUAGCCUUAACAAUAUAUAUCAUUAAGAAAUUUCCUUGGAAUGGGAAUUUCAAACCACUUUAUCAAAUAUACUUACUUCCUCACUUACUUUUGUGGUUUGGUAGCUUUUUCUUUACACAUUUAGGAGGUGGGGAAGCACAGAGAUAUAGCACUUUCUUUUUUUUUUCUUUGAGACAGAGUCUCGCCCUGUCACCCAGGCUGGAGUGCAGUGGCGCCAUCUUGGCUCACUGCAACCUCCGCCUCCCAGGUUCAAGCUAUUCUCCUGCUUCAGCUUCCUGAGUAGCUGGGACUACAGGUGCACGCCACCAAGCCCGGCUAAUUUUUGUAUUUUUAGUAGAGAAGGGGUUUCACCAUGUUGGCCAGGAUGGUCUCGAUCUCCUGACCUCGUGAUCCACCCGCCUUGGCCUCCCAAAGUGCUAGGAUAACCGGUGUAAGCCACCGCACCUGGCCAGAUAUAGCACUUUCUAAAAGGUCUAUAAAUCUUUCUAAAGAUUAAUAUUGAGUGGGAUCAAUGUGUUUUAGGGAAUCCAGAUACUGCACACCACUUUGCAAAUGUUUAGAUUUUAGCAGAACAACAAAUGGACUUUGCAAAGACUGUCUUUUAAUUAUUAAACCUCUAUUUAUUAAAAAGAAAUUAGGCCAGGCACAGUGGCUCACGCCUGUAAUCCCAGAACUUUGGGAGGCCGAGGUGGGUGGAUCACCUGAGGUCAGGAGUUCAAGACCAGCCUGGCCAACAUGGUGAGACCACAUCUCUACUACAAAUACAAAAAUUAGUCGGGCAUGGUGGCAGGCACCUGCAAUCUCAGCUACUUGGGAGGCUGAAUGAAUUUACAGGUAGGAAGGCACACAUUAUAUAAGUUAAAAUUCAGUUCAACUAUGAGUGACAGAAAACCCUAAUGAGUGGUAGCUUAAACAUACAAUGUUUACUCCCUCAAACAAAAUGUCUGCCUGAUAUGUAGCUGAUGUGAGGCUCCAUGGUGUCAGGGUCCCAGGUUUCUUUUAUCUAUGGCUUUGCCAUCUUUAUCACAUGAACCAUAAUGACUGCUUGAGUUUCUUAUGGUCUAAAAUGGUUUCUUGAGUUUCCUAUCCCCAUCCAGUCAGGAAGAAAAAAAAAAAAAAAAAAAAGGAAUGACUGAUGAAGCGCUUGCUUUUAUUUUAAGAACACUUCCUGCAAGUUGCACAUACCAAUUCUGUUUGCAUUCUUUUGGCCACAACUUACCUACUUGGCCAUGCCUAGCUUCAAGAGAAGAGAAAUGUAGUCAUUAUUUUGAGUAGUUAUAUGUCCAGAUGGAAAUCAGGGGAGCUAUCACACACACACACACACACACACACACACACACACACACACACACACACACAAAGCACAAAACAGAUACUGGGGACAACUCAUCUUCUUUGCCUCAUACACUGAAAUUAAGCCAGAUUGGUCUUGUUUUUGAAAGAAAGUAACACUGUUAGUAAGAGAGACUUUGGUAUUGUCUAAUCAAACUUCUCUCUUUUUGUGGAUGAGACUCAUGUUGUCUGAGUUCAAGUUCAGAUAUCAUCCAUUCCUUGAGCUUGUAUGUGUGAUACUACACACUACAACCUAGCACAGAGAGGAUGAGAAGACAAGAAAUGAGAACUUAGGUGUUACUUAGUAUUUAUUUAUAAUAGUAGUUUUAAAAAUGCUGUCUUGACACAGUUUUGAGGCCCUGGAAAUAACAUUUUAAAGUAAAAACGUUAAAGUUUAAAGAAGAGCUUUGCCACUUAAACGGGGGAGUUUGUCUGGAAAAUAUAUUGAGUUGAAACACUUCAUCCUUGGAAGGAUUAUAUACGAUGAACAAUUGCAUAUAAAUGUGUGUUUUAGAGAGAUGUGAACGGGCAGUUAGUCCAGUGCCCUCAUUUAAGAGGCCAAAAUCCUGACUCAGAGGAGGUGUCCUUUGCCCAGAGCUUCUUAGCUAAUCUGACCAAAUGUUGGGAAAUAUAUCUUACCUAACCUACUAUUCCUUAAUUAUGGAUUUUGUGGAAAACAAUAAAACAUGUUAAUGAGUAAUUUAUAUUAGUUCAAUUUAUUACAAUUUUUUAGCUUUAAAUUACAGUUUUCUUAUAAUGAUGAAAUGUUUUAGAAUCCUUUGAAUCUAAGUAUUUACUUAUUUCCUAAAUAAAACAUUAGUACAACAUUUGAUGUUUUACUUAUGAAAUAUCCUCCUCUCCCAAGAUAAUUAAAACUUUUUCUUUCUAUUUAAAAGCUAAGAAAUGAUGUUUUAAAGGAAAAAUGAAAUUAUUUUCUUUUAGCUUCUUUUAAGGUAAAACAGCUUUUUUACUCUGUUAUUGUGGUAAUGGACAGAAAAUUGCAUACCAAAAUAUUCUGGGAGAGCAUUCUCCUAGUUGGUUUUAAAUCAUUGUGCUACCUGAAAGGUUUUUUGAUUUUGUAGGAGCUAUUUUGUCCACCAGCAUUAAUGUGACACUAGUUAUGAAAAUAUAUUGAAGGACAAGAAGUGGACACAAAGUGAUUUUUGUAACCUGGGCAGUUAAUGAAUGUGCCAACGUUUUCGAGGAAGGGACAGCAAGAAUAUUCUGCCCUGUAGUUAAAAUACUGGCUGGCUUUUAAUGUCUUCAUGCUUAAUCGUGAUCACUUUCUUGCACUGUGAUGUUUUUACGUGAACAUGUUAAAAUGGAAGUCUACCAUAUUACUUUAUAAAAUGUUUUCUGUAUGCCAGUAAACUGAAAAUAUGGAUCAACAACAACAACAAAAUGCGUCUUGACACAGUUUUGAGGCCCUAUGUAGGGGUUAGUCAAUUUUCACUGAGCAAUCGGUUAAGCCCAUAUCCCCAACCACCUCCCUUAUGAGACUCUCACCCUCCUGGCCACCAUACACUUUUCCUAAUUACUCUAAGGGCAGGUAUCAGAUAACCAGAGGCAGCUCCUAUACCCUGGAGCCCACUGAAAGUGCUCAAAUUAGUCAAUCCUAAGCCUGCGUAUCCUGCCUCAUCCAUUCCUUCCUGCAGAAACCACAAUAAAGACACUUGUCUUCCCUCUUCCUUUGCCUCACGACCAACCUUGGUGCUUCCCCUGAGUGGCCCUGUGUGGCAUAUUGUGUUCUUCCCAGAGAACUGUCAGUAUAAGAAACUGUAAAACUCUUUCUGGUUUCUGUCUGUUGAUCUGCAUCUGGCCUCACCAGGU